rnacentral:lncRNA from 1 species
UAAAUUUAUGUAAUUUGACAAUUAAUCUACCUCAUGUGCUUGCAGAUAUGUAUUCAAUUCCUACCACCGUAGUGGAAGAGAGGCUAUCCCUAUCUUUACAACUGAUAGCAUUUCCAACAGUAAGCUGUGAGAUUCUGCUUGAAAUCACCUCUCAAACAAAUAAAAAACAGACCUGGGAGACACGCUACACUCAUUCUGCUGAAGAAAUAGGCAUUCAUACUUGGGGAAACAGGGAUUUCACAGACCCAGGCUUGUUCCCUACAUAAUGUUUCCUCCUCCGACAUCAGUUCAUCAGUCAAUCAAGUCAUGUGAGAGUGGAGGCCUUGUAUUCCCUAUUAUUCUUGGGCACUCUCCUCCAAGGAGGGAAAGGCCAGGAGGUCCUUUUAGAGGAUGCACUCUGAGAGCCCGGGCUCCCUAAGGUAUGAGAGUUCUAACCAGCAGGUUAGACUUUUCAGGAGUGAGGAAUGAGGCAGGCAUUCCAAACCGGUACCUUCAUUACCUUUUGUUUCAUCUCAAGACAAUUCUGAGGGGCUGUUUUGGAGCGUGUCUGGAAGGUGAACGUUGAAGAAGAGUGUGGGCUUUGAUAUGACUCAGUUGAGAUCUUUCAUGGGGAGGCAGGAAUUCAAUGCCCAGAAUCUGGGCUGGUGUCUUUGAGGUCAGUAGGUUGCAUCUUUUUAUCCAAGUCCGUUGUUACUAGGUUGGAGGCUGGAGAUUCUAAAUGGCUUCCAGACUGCCUCUCUGAUUCUCUUUGGGAGAUGUGGUCUGAAAGACAAUGUCAGUAUUUUUGGGAAAUUCUAGAAAGUCUGCUUGGAAACGUGGGAAGAGCUCUUGCCUAGUGCCUAAAUGCUCCAUUUGCAGCUCUAGCCAAGUAGAUACUUGGUAGGUAUAGAGCCGGGUUUGCAUUUAUAUCAGCAAAACCUAUGUCAGAGUUGAAGAAGUAGUCAGGAAAAAGUGUAUUGGUCACAGGCCGGGAACAUCUUAA